UCGGGGGUCGUCUAAUGGCAGGACAGCGGGUUUUGGUCCCGCCGGUCGGGGUUCGAAUCCCUGCCCCUGAGCUA
rnacentral:tRNA from 1 species